GCUUACGGCCAUACUACCCUGAAAAUGCCCGAUCUCGUCUGAUCUCGGAAGCCAAGCAGGGUCAGGCCUGGUCAGUAAUUGGAUGGGAGACCGCCUGGGAAUACCAGGUGCCGUAAGCU
rnacentral:rRNA from 1 species